AACUGCCAGGAAGGGAAAGAACUGGGUUCCACAAGAAUAGCGGGGGGACCAGUCUGAAUUUAGAGGAUAAAUAGGGCUGAGAAAGGAAUUAAAAAUAUAUUUAUUUAUUUAUUUAUAAAAUUUGGUGGUGCCAGCUCUUAGUUUCAGCAUGCAAACUCUUAGUUGCAGCUUGUGGAAUCUAAUUCCCAGACCAGGGAUGGAAUCCAGGCCCCCUCCAUUGGGAGUACAGAGUUUUAGCCACUGGACCACCAGGGAAGUCCUUGAGAAGGGGAUUUUUAAACUGAGACCUGAAGGAUUUCAAAGACUAUGAAAGAGAAUGUUCCAGCAAAGAUUCCUGAACCCGCCUGUAGGAGGCAUGUGGGCUGAGCUUUGGCCAACACCAGAGGUGGACUCUGCUUCCGAGUUGGAGGGCAGAUUUGAGCAGCAGAAACUUUUAUGUGAGAGAAAAGUAAAGCAGUGAUUCUCAAAGUGGGUUCCCUGGACCAGCAGCAUCGGCAUUACCGGGAACACGUUAGCAGCACGGAUGCGCAGACUUCACCUCUGACUACCAGCAGCUCUGGGCUGGGGCCCAGCCUUCAGCAUUCUGGCAUAGCCUCUGGGAAUUCAGAUGCCCACCUGAGUCUGAGAACCACUCAGCACAGCACCGUCUCCAAGAAACGAGGAUGCUAUCUCCCCACUGGGUAGUUCCUCACACAUCUCUGAAUGAUGUCACAUGAGCUAUGAAGAAAAGCUCCCUGAGGCCAGGGACUUUGUCCAUUCUGUUCACAGCUCUCUCUCCAGGGCCCAUGGUGUGUGACGAGUAACUAAAUGGGGAGAGAGAGACAAAGAACUAUCUUGGAUGCUGUGAAUGGGGAGGGGAGACCCUGCCUGUUUCUUAUUCUGUCUUGAUCCUGCAACAUGUGACUCUAGUGUUUCUAGUGUUUAAAGAUACAGAUUCCUGGCACAAGUGGGCCCUUAAAUACCUGUCUCUCUACCUAGUGCUCAGGGGAGGAGAUAUGGCCUUCUUCUACCCCUGGUGGAACACCCCUCUGGAUGUUGUUCAAAGUCCAUUUGUGUCUCCAAUGUGGUGUAUGCCUGUGGCAGGUACAGUAUUUGACGGGAGGUUUAUGAGACUUUCUUCAAAAACUUUUCCUUUUUUUCCCUUCCAAUGUUCAUUUUUUCCUCCAGUGUUUUUUUUUUUUUUUUUUUUUGAAACAAUUUCAAAUUGACACAUAAGUUUUAAGAAUAGUGUAAUGAACUCUGGAAUACCCUUGGCCAAAGACUGAUAGGUUUUUCCUACUGUCCCAGUAAUGGCCCUUAUAGGUUCAGGGAAACACUGCAUUGGUUGUGAUGUCUCUCUAGUCCUCCUCAACCUAUGAGAAAUUGUCAAGAGCAGUUCUGUGCUGUGCGAUUUUCACUUAUGGGUGUCUGUGUGUGUGUUAGUCACUUAGUUGUGUCUGACUCGUUGUGACCCCCAUGGAUUGUAGCCCGCCAGGCUCCUCUGUCCAUGGAAUUCUCCAGGCAAGAAUACUGGAGUGAGUUGCCAUUUCCUUCUCCAUCACUUAUGGGUAAUUACCGUGAUUUAACAGUUGCCUUCAGGCGCAACCUCCGCAUAAGAAGCCACUUCCUGGACAUCCUCUCAACUGAAUCCCUGAGGGUGAACAGGGACUAUGAACUCAGACUAAAGCCGUGUAAGGGGCAGGUAACAGAAGCCCAGUGUAAAGUAGCAUAAGCGCAAAAGGGAACUGAUUGCCCCCUCAACUGGGUCAGCGAGAGGCAGUCUCACCUCUGGCAUGGCUGUAUCCAGGGGCUCUAAAGGCGUCCCCAAGUCUCUCUCACCCUCCCUGCUGCUCGCCUCUGCGUUCGUGGGAAAGGUGACCUCAGACGGCCCUGAGCUCAUCCACUCCCCCAAACGGAGGCCGGACUGGCUGCGCUUUGGUCCCUUCCUUACCCUUGGAUCUGUCGCCGGCCUAGGAUGGGUGUACUCUGAUUGGCCAGCUCGGACCUGUGCCCGCCUCUGGGCGGGGCUCUCUGUGAUUUGCGGGAACAGCAGUUCUGAAAAACGAAAGAGGAUUUCUUCUCCGGUUCGCUCGGUGAGCAGUCCGCACAGGCUGCUGUUGUCGGAGUGAGGAAUAAUAAUAAUAGCAGCAGCAGUAGCCGUGACAUUUAUUGAGAGCUUGCUGGGUUCUGGGCCUGCUUCUAAGUGGGUUUCCUAUCAAUUAGCUCAUUUGAUACUUAGCCAUUUUGUGCCGUCGAGUUUUACUUUCGCACAUGUUUUCCAUACCAGCAACUUCACAGACAGGUGCAGUCACUUGCCCACGGCGACACAACUAGCACGCAGCGGAACCCGGGGCCCCACAGCCUCGGGCGUCACUCUCGAGCGCGUCCUGGGGCGCACGGGAGUUCGCCCUCCAGUUACCUCUCAGGCGUAGAACCCGGUCUCCUGCUCCAGGCUGGGGCUGUCACCCUCCAGGGCACCUGUGAGCCUGGGGCAAGGGGAGCACCUGGGCCCAGAUCGUUUAGGGGAAGUUUGCUGUUACCCACCGAGCAGAGCGCAGCGCCCCAAGAAACAGAAGACAGAAUGAGCAGUGGUUCACACUGGCUGCCCACAAGAAUACUCAGGGGGGAGCUGAAGCCGUAUCCCAGGCCAAUUAACCAGAAUCUCUGGGGUGGAGCCCAGGCAUUAGUAUUCUUUAAGCUUCCCCAGGUGAAUUCAGUGUCCAGCCAAGGCGGAUAAUCACUAGUUUGUGGGCUUUCUAGCUUAAUAGAAAUAGCCAUGGUUUAAGAUCCGCCUGGCUUUGACUGUUAUUUAGUGAGAAAACAUGAAGGUUCUGGCUGAAUCAAUUUGAGUUUUUGCAUAACCUGAGUGUCCAGAGCUGAAAAGCCUUUGGCUGUUUUGAAGAAUCAAGCAUUAUAUUAAAUUUUGGUGAAAAUUUCUAACUCUGUAGCCUUCCUUUCUGGAAAAAGAAAAUAAAAUCCUUAAAAAAAAAAAAAAUCCACCUGGCCUUGAGAUUUGGCUCCACCAUCGCAAGCCGUGUGAUUUUGUGCCAGUCACUUACCUUCUCUAAGUCUCAAUUUCCUCAUCUGUGGGAAAGGUUCUAAGUCCCUCUUCUUUAUGUGAAGAUCAAAUGAGAUGAUACCUAUAAGACCUCCAGCAUAGAAUUGGCACUCAGCUCCAUUCUUACUAUUAAGGAGGGGUUAGGAGAGAAAUGGGCUUCCCUGGUGGGAGACCCGGGUUCGAUCCCUGGGUCAGGAAGAUUCCCUGGAGAAGGAAAUGGCAACCCACUCCAGUAGGGGCCUGGAGAAUCCCAUGGACGGAGGAGCCUGGUAGGCUACAGUCCACGGGGUCGCAAAGAGUGGGACACGACUGAGCGACUUCACUUUCACUUUCACUUUUUAGGACAGAAAUGGCUUCUGCAGGACCAUCCAGGGAGUCAGAGCUGUGCCAACGACUCCCAUCCCUAGGCUGAGGCUGUGGAAUGGACUCUGGGAGCCUCAGACCCCAGCCCCUCCCUCCUUGAUCUUCCACCCUCGCGGAGGGGCCUGAGGC